rnacentral:rRNA from 1 species
GAUGAACGCUGGCGGCGUGCCUAAUACAUGCAAGUCGAGCGAACAGACGAGGAGCUUGCUCCUCUGACGUUAGCGGCGGACGGGUGAGUAACACGUGGAUAACCUACCUAUAAGACUGGGAUAAAUUCGGGAAACCGGAGCUAAUACCGGAUAAUAUAUUGAACCGCAUGGUUCAAUAGUGAAAGACGGUUUUGCUGUCACUUAUAGAUGGAUCCGCGCCGCAUUAGCUAGUUGGUAAGGUAACGGCUUACCAAGGCAACGAUGCGUAGCCGACCUGAGAGGGUGGUCGGCCACACGGUAACUGAGACACGGUCCAGACUCCUACGGGAGGCAGCAGUAGGGAAUCUUCCGCAAUGCGCGAAAGCCUGACGGAGCAACGCCGCGUGAGUGAUGAAGGUCUUCGGAUCGGAAAACUCUGUUAUUAGGGAAAAACAAAUGUGUAAGUAACUAUGCACGUCUUGACGGUACCUAAGCAGAAAGCCACGGCUAACUACGUG